GGGAGCUUAGCUCAGUUGGUAGAGCAACGCCCUUACAAGGCGUGGGUCGGCGGUUCGAACCCGUCAGCUCCUACCA
rnacentral:tRNA from 2 species